CCUGCCUGAGGCAAGGCAGCUUCUAUCUGAUGCUUCUAAGGCUGGGAGGGAGCUGAUGAAAGGGCCAUGACAGAGAUCAAAGAGGAGAAUUUGUUACAGGAAAGCCCUGGGUCGAGAGGAAUGCUUGAGGCUUCUCCAGGAAAAUUGUCCAAGGAUAUGAUGGCUGAUGAAAGAGAUGUGUGGGAUGCAGGAAGUAAAAAUGAAGCUCAUCAGGUAUUGGAGGAAAGUGUUACAAAUAAAGAAGUGAAAAAGAAUUCUGGGAAUUGUGAUAUUGUGAAAAACCAGGGGGAAGAUCA